rnacentral:rRNA from 1 species
GACGAACGCUGGCGGCGUGCUUAACACAUGCAAGUCGAACGGAAAGGCCCUGCUUGCAGGGUACUCGAGUGGCGAACGGGUGAGUAACACGUGGGUGAUCUGCCCUGCACUUCGGGAUAAGCCUGGGAAACUGGGUCUAAUACCGGAUAGGAGCCAUUUUUAGUGUGAUGGUUGGAAAGUUUUUUCGGUGUAGGAUGAGCUCGCGGCCUAUCAGCUUGUUGGUGGGGUAAUAGCCUACCAAGGCGGCGACGGGUAGCCGGCCUGAGAGGGUGGACGGCCACAUUGGGACUGAGAUACGGCCCAGACUCCUACGGGAGGCAGCAGUGGGGAAUAUUGCACAAUGGGCGCAAGCCUGAUGCAGCGACGCCGCGGGGGGGAUGACGGCCUUCGGGUUGUAAACUCCUUUCGCUAGGGACGAAGCUUUUUGUGACGGUACCUAGAUAAGAAGCACCGGCUAACUACGUG